rnacentral:tRNA from 1 species
GGGGUUGUGGCUCAGUGGUAGAGGUCUUGCCUCGCAUGCAUGAGGCCCUGGGUUCAAUCCUCAGCACCA